UUCCCAGGGUGUGUUUCGUCAGCUGC
rnacentral:piRNA from 1 species